rnacentral:rRNA from 1 species
AAGGUUUUGAUCCCUUGGGCUCAAGGAUAAAACGCUGGCGGCGGCACAUAAAGACAUGCAAGUCGAACGGACUUAACCGAAGUAUUUUAUAUUUUGGAGCGGUUAGUGGCGGACUGGUGAGUAACACGUAAGCAACCUGCCUAUUAGAGGGGAAUAACAGUGAGAAAUCAUUGCUAAUACCGCAUAUGCUGUGAGUAUCGCAUGAUACAAACAGGAAAGGAGCAAUCCGCUAAUAGAUGGGCUUGCGCCUGAUUAGAUAGUUGGUGGGGUAACGGCCUACCAAGUCAACGAUCAGUAGCCGAACUGAGAGGUUGAACGGCCACAUUGGGACUGAGAUACGGCCCAGACUCCUACGGGAGGCAGCAGUCGGGAAUAUUGCGCAAUGGAGGAAACUCUGAUGCAGUGACGCCGCGUGCAGGAAGAAGGUUUUCGGAUUGUAAACUGCUUUAGACAGGGAAGAAACAAGACAGUACCUGUAGAAUAAGCUCCGGCUAACUACGUG